AACCUCCGCAAUGUGAGAAAUCGCGACGGGGGGAUCCCAAGUGCCAUUCUUAACGGGAUGGCUUUUCAUUAGUGUAAAGAGCUUUUGGAAUAAGAGCUGGGCAAGACCGGUGCCAGCCGCCGCGGUAACACCGGCAGCUCUAGUGGUAACAAUUUUUAUUGGGCCUAAAGCGUCCGUAGCCGGUUUAAUAAGUCUCUGGUGAAAUCCUGCAGCUUAACUGUGGGAAUUGCUGGAGAUACUAUUAGACUUGAGACCGGGAGAGGUUAGAGGCACUCCCAGGGUAGAGGUGAAAUUCUGUAAUCCUGGGAGGACCGCCUGUUGCGAAGGCGUCUAACUGGAACGGUUCUGACGGUGAGGGACGAAAGUUAGGGGCGCGAACCGGAUUAGAUACCCGGGUAGUCCUAACUGUAAACGAUGCGGACUUGGUGUUGGGGUGGCUUUGAGCUGCUUCAGUGCCGAAGGGAAGCUGUUAAGUCCGCCGCCUGGGAAGUACGGUCGCAAGACUAAAACUUAAAGGAAAU
rnacentral:rRNA from 1 species